GCCGGAACCAUCCAACCCCCACACCCUCACAUCAUCCACCACCGGCCCACAAAGCGAGCUCCGAUCAUCACUCCUCGUAUUGUAGUAAACACUGUAGAACGCCACCCGUGUCCGCUCCGCCCUCGCUGUAAAGUUCAGACUCACAAGUUGACUAGUUGCAUUACCGGUAGGUGACACAUGGAAGUUCUGCGCCUGGUCACCAGCGAAUGCCAUGACAGCCAACGGAGCCUGACAGGUAUCACCAGCAGAGCCAACGGCAAAUGUCAGGCUGUAAGGCUUCUGGGGGGUGGUGGUGACCAUUUGAGAGAUAAUGCCCUCCUUGCCAGAGAGAAGCUCGAUGGCUCGUUUUCCUUGGGGGACAGUGUAAUGGUCAGAGUCGAUGUAGCGGACAGCACGGUUGGACUCGACGAUCCAGCCGGGAAGGGGAGAGGUGAGGUCGUCGAUGUUGGUCGGGAGGAGGACGCCAAGGGAGGCGUUUGGGAACAUCCAUGGGCCUUCCUCGAAGUCUCCGUUGAUGGCAGCAUUGUCUUCAGCUCGAUCGGGGACGAAGAGCUUCUUGAUGGCAAUGUUGUCGAUGAUGGGGCCGCAGGUUGGAUCCUCCUCCAUCCCGGGAUUUAUAAAUGCCACCUCCCCGUUGUCCUCG
rnacentral:misc_RNA from 1 species